GACUUGAAGACUACACAGAGAGACUCCGAGUCCCCCUGGGACUGACCUGAGAUGACCAGGGAGCUGGUAUUUUUAGCUUCCAGAGGAGCCUCAAAAUUACAGUUAAGUCUACAGUCAGACAGAAGGAAACUGGCAUUUAUUAAACACCAACUUUGUGCCUGGAA